UACGUAGGCAGCGAGCGUUGUUCGGAGUUACUGGGCGUAAAGGGUGUGUAGGCGGUUUUCUAAGUUUGGUGUGAAAUCUCCCGGCUUAACCGGGAGGGUGCGCCGAAAACUGGGAGACUAGAGUGCGGGAUGGGAGAGUAGAAUUCCUGGUGUAGCGGUGAAAUGCGUGGAUAUCAGGAGGAAUACCGGUGGCGAAGGCGGCGUCCUGGACCAAUACUGACACUGAAACGCGAAAGCCAGGGGAGCAAACGGG
rnacentral:rRNA from 1 species